UAUCCGAAGACGUGAUGCGGACCGAAUUAAGAGUAGGGAAGUGUGUGAGCCAUGCGUCAAGAAAAGCCGCUAUUGUUUUACUUAAGCCCGUACCGUAAACCGACACAGGUGGAUGAGGAGAGAAUCCUAAGGCCGACGGGAGAAGCAUUGUUAAGGAACUCGGCAAAAUGACUCCGUAACUUCGGGAGAAGGAGUGCCAGCGAGAGCUGGCCGCAGAGAAUUGGCCCAAGCAACUGUUUAGCAAAAACACAGGUCUAUGCAAAACCGUAAGGUGAAGUAUAUGGGCUGACGCCUGCCCGGUGCUGGAAGGUUAAGAGGAGAGGUUAGCGGUAACGCGAAGCUUUGAAUUUAAGCCCCAGUAAACGGCGGCCGUAACGAUAACGGUCCUAAGGUAGCGAAAUUCCUUGUCGGGUAAGUUCCGACCCGCACGAAAGGCGUAAUGAUUUGGGCACUGUCUCAACAAUGCACCCGGUGAAAUUGAAAUACCAGUGAAGAUGCUGGUUACCUGCGCCAGGACGGAAAGACCCCAUGGAGCUUUACUCCAGCUUGAUACUGGGAUUCGGUAUUGCAUGUACAGGAUAGGUGGGAGGCUAGGAAGUGAUAACGCCAGUUGUCACGGAGCCGCUGUUGGGAUACCACCCUUGCAGUAUUGGAUUUCUAACCAGCGACCAUGAACUGGUCGGGGGACAAUGUCAGGUGGGGAGUUUGACUGGGGCGGUCGCCUCCGAAAGGGUAUCGGAGGCGCUCAAAGGUUCCCUCAGAAUGGACGGAAACCAUUCGAAGAGUGCAAAGGCAGAAGGGAGCUUGACUGCGACACCGACGGGUGGAGCAGGUACGAAAGUAGGACUUAGUGAUCCGGUGUAUAAAGUGGGAUUGCCAUCGCUCAACGGAUAAAAGCUACCCUGGGAUAACAGGCUUAUCACUCCCAAGAGUUCACAUCGACGGAGUGGUUUGGCACCUCGAUGUCGGCUCAUCGCAUCCUGGGGCUGAAGUAGGUCCCAAGGGUUGGGCUGUUCGCCCAUUAAAGCGGUACGCGAGCUGGGUUCAGAACGUCGUGAGACAGUUCGGUCCCUAUCCGGCGUGGGCGUAGGAUAUUUGAGAGGAGCUGUCCUUAGUACGAGAGGACCGGGAUGGACUGGCCGCUGGUGUAUCUGUUGCAUACCAAAUGCAUGGCAGAGUAGCCAAGCCGGGACGGGAUAAACGCUGAAGGCAUCUAAGCGUGAAGCCCCCCUCAAGAUGAGAUAUCCCUACGUAAGUAGUAAGACCCCUUGAAGACGACGAGGUAGAUAGGUCAGAGGUGGAAGUACAGUAAUGUAUGGAGCUGACUGAUACUAAUCGGUCGAGGGCAUGACC
rnacentral:rRNA from 1 species